rnacentral:lncRNA from 1 species
CAGCUCAUUGGAAAAAGAUUAAAAUGGGUGGUUACUAAUGAGAUUUCUGGAGAGAAGACCAGAAUUUCAGCAAGUAAACUUGUUAUUCCUGAACUGUUGAAGGCUGCCCUUAGAGAUCCCUCCUUUUGAUCCUUUAUGUUUAAGCAUGUUACCAUGUAUACAACUAAUUUUUUCCUCUUGCAAAGUGCUUCUCUGUAAGUCCCUGACUAUAAUGGUUAGAGCUUUAGUUAUUUUUUUUCUCCAUGUCUUUUCAGCUUGUGAAUUCCUUGGUGGGAAGCUUGCCACACUCUUUGGACUCAAUGAACCUAAAUAUCAGCAUGCAAUAGAUGAAUACUAUAGGACACAGAGCAAGGAAAGUGAAGAUGAUGAAGAUGGUGAAGAGAUCUUUGAGAAAAAUGAAGUGAACUCUCUGAAUGAAAAAUGCCACCUUGAACUACAGAGCAUAGGCUAUGGAUCAGUUGGACUCAAGGACCCCAUGGAGUUUUCUCAAAGAGGCGCUUGUGCAAAUGUUAAUGAAGCUACAAAACGUGACUAUAAAGUCCAAACUCAGUCUCAGUUGCUAAGAAAUAAUGAAAAUAUUGCCACUGGGGUCUCUCUUGAUAUGCCACCUGAAAAUGACCAACAGAACAUGAAUUAAUCAUUUAUAAGCUUUUUGAGAUAACACAUACAUCCUUUUGCCCAGAUCAGUGGCAUUUCAAUCUUCAGAGGGCAACAGGAUAUAUUAAAAAAUGCAUUAUGAGGGAAGAAAAGAUCUCAAAGGAAACCUGAUGACACUGACCCUUCAGCAAAAGAGGUGCUUGUAGCAUCUGCUAUUUGGUUCCUUAUGUACACUGGCAUUUAACUGGAGAACAUCAUUCAGAUGUGUGCACCUUGGACACGGCAUUAGUCAGUUAUUUCUGAAGGUAGAAAACAACUCAGUGGGACUAUAUAAUGCAUUUUGAUAUACUGAUAUAUAAAGCUACCCACAGAGUUCUAGUCUACUCCGAGUAGCCAAAGAUACUUCCUUAUUAACCUGAACAGCAAAAGCAACCAAAAAUUAAGUCUCUCUGGUUAGGAUUAUGGGAAUGUUACCCUGUUAAGUAUUCAAUAUGGUGGCUGGCUAAGCACUAAGACAGUAAUUAUUGUUCUCCAAGUCCUCAUGGUCUUGAUUCUCCAUUCUGUUGUACACUGUAAUCUUGCACAAUAUUCACAGCAAGCUAGAUUUGUUCUGCAGAGUGAUCAAGUUUGUAAAAGGGGAUCAUGCUUGACAGACAUCUACAAUAAUCCCAUGAUAAAGACUCAUUGCUUGUCCUGAAUUGCUGUUCUCUGCACUUUUUGGAUCAUUUACAGUUUCAGGGAUAACAAGAAUUUGCUGGGUGGAGGGGUGAAAUGAAAGGUGCUUG